AUUGAACGCUGGCGGCAGGCCUAACACAUGCAAGUCGAACGGUAACAGGAAGAAGCUUGCUUCUUUGCUGACGAGUGGCGGACGGGUGAGUAAUGUCUGGGAAACUGCCUGAUGGAGGGGGAUAACUACUGGAAACGGUAGCUAAUACCGCAUAACGUCGCAAGACCAAAGAGGGGGACCUUCGGGCCUCUUGCCAUCGGAUGUGCCCAGAUGGGAUUAGCUUGUAGGUGGGGUAACGGCUCACCUAGGCGACGAUCCCUAGCUGGUCUGAGAGGAUGACCAGCCACACUGGAACUGAGACACGGUCCAGGCUCCUACGUGAGGCAGCAGUGGGGAAUAUUGCACAAUGGGCGCAAGCCUGAUGCAGCCAUGCCGGGUGGAUGAAGAAGGCCUUCGGGUUGUAAAGUACUUUCAGCGGGGAGGAAGGGAGUAAAGUUAAUACCUGUACUCAUUGACGUUACCCGCAGAAGAAGCACCGGCUAACUCCGUG
rnacentral:rRNA from 1 species